CCUACGGGCGGCAGCAGUGAGGAAUAUUGGUCAAUGGGCGCGAGCCUGAACCAGCCAAGUAGCGUGAAGGAUGACUGCCCUGCGGGUUGUAAACUUCUUUUAUAAAGGAAUAAAGUCAGGCACGUGUGCCUUUUUGUAUGUACUUUAUGAAUAAGGAUCGGCUAACUCCGUGCCAGCAGCCGCGGUAAUACGGAGGAUCCGAGCGUUAUCCGGAUUUAUUGGGUUUAAAGGGAGCGUAGGUGGGUUGUUAAGUCAGUUGUGAACGUUUGCGGCUCAACCGGAAAAUUGCAAUUGAUACUGGCAUCCUUGAGUACAGGUGAGGUAGGCGGAAUUCGUGGUGUAGCGGUGAAAUGCAUAGAUAUCACGAAGAACUCCGAUUGCGAAGGCAGCAUACUAAACUGACACUGACAUUGAGGCUCGAAAGUGUGGGUAUCAAACAGGAUUAGAUACCCCAGUAGUC
rnacentral:rRNA from 1 species